CGACGUAAAGAAACUUAGCCUCACAGAUAGGGACAACAUUUGGAAACGAAUGCUAAUACCUGAUAUUAUGAUUUUAGGGCAUCGUAUAAUUAUGAAAGCUAUAUGCGCUGUGAGAGAGCUUUGCGUCCCAUUAGCUAGUUGGAGAGGUAACGGCUCACCAAGGCGAUGAUGGGUAGCCGGCCUGAGAGGGUGAUCGGCCACAAGGGGACUGAGACACGGCCCUU
rnacentral:rRNA from 1 species